rnacentral:lncRNA from 1 species
CUCUUAUCAUGUGUGAAAUUAGUUUUGGUAUAGUUUAGGAGUAGUGUCGAUGGACCAGCUGAUCAGGAUAACUCUUAUCAUGUGUGAAAUUAGUUUUGGUAUAGUUUAGGAGUAGUGUCGAUGGGCCAGCUGAUCAGAAUAACUCUUAUCAUGUGUGAAAUUAGUUUUGGUAUAGUUUAGGAGUAGUGUCGAUGGACCAGCUGAUCAGGAUAACUCUUAUCAUGUGUGAAAUUAGUUUUGGUAUAGUUUAGGAGUAGUGUCGAUGGGCCGGCUGAUCAGGAUAACUCUUAUCAUGUGUGAAAUUAGUUUUGGUAUAGUUUAGGAGUAGUGUCGAUGGGCCGGCUGAUCAGGAUAACUCUUAUCAUGUGUGAAAUUAGUUUUGGUACAGUUUAGGAGUAGUGUCGAUGGGCCAGCUGAUCAGGAUAACUCUUAUCAUGUGUGAAAUUAGUUUUGGUAUAGUUUAGGAGUAGUGUCGAUGGGCCAGCUGAUCAGGAUAACUCUUAUCAUGUGUGAAAUUAGUUUUGGUACAGUUUAGGAGUAGUGUCGAUGGGCCAGCUGAUCAGGAUAACUCUUAUCAUGUGUGAAAUUAGUUGUGGUAUAGUUUAGGAGUAGUGUCGAUGGGCAAGCUGAUCAGGAUAACUCUUAUCAUGUGUGAAAUUAGUUUUGGUACAGUUUAGGAGUAGUGUCGAUGGGCCAGCUGAUCAGGAUAACUCUUAUCAUGUGUGAAAUUAGUUUUGGUACAGUUUAGGAGUAGUGUCGAUGGGCCAGCUGAUCAGGAUAACUCUUAUCAUGUGUGAAAUUAGUUUUGGUACAGUUUAGGAGUAGUGUCGAUGGGCCAGCUGAUCAGGAUAACUCUUAUCAUGUGUGAAAUUAGUUUUGGUAUAGUUUAGGAGUAGUGUCGAUGGGCCGGCUGUGAAGGUUGACUGCUAUUAUUUGUUUCCCGCUCAUCAACUUGGACAGAGUCCAGGACAUGUUUUACAUCACUCUAAAGGCCUACUGUAACUCAUAGCAUGUGUUCAUUUCCUUACAAUACAUGUGAUUAGUGUUCGAGUUACAGUCAAUAAAACAGACCCACAACAGUUGAUUUGUGGAAAGUAAAACAUAAAAGAGAAUAUUAUUAACCCACAAGGGGGUGUGGUCAAAUGAUUUGCUGCUGAUAAAUAGGCAUAACACAAACUCAUCAUUACACUUUUGUCUUUCUACAUUACAUCAACCCCUUCAUCCUUCUUAUCAUUCAGUUAGGCCUCAUUUGGGGACGACAGGUAACCUAGUGGUUAGAGUGGAGGGGCGGCAGGUAGCCUAGUGGUUAGAGUGUAGAGGCGGCAGGUAGCCUAGUGGUUAGAGUGUAGAGGCGGCAGGUAGCCUAGUGGUUAGAGUGUAGAGGCGGCAGGCAGCCUAGUGGUUAAAGUGUUGAGCCAGUACUUGAAAGGUUGCUGGAUCGAAUCCCUGAGCUGAGAAGGUAAAAAUCUGUCGUUCUGCCCCUGAACAAGGCAGUUAACCCACUGUUCCUAGGCCGUCUUUGAAAAUAAGAAUUUGUUCAAAAACUGAUUUGCCUAGUUAAAUAAAGGUAAAAACGUAUAUUAUCAUAUAAGGUGCACAAUUACGGCCCAUUUAUUCAGUGAGGAAAGGGAGACUCAUUAGUGGCUGGCUGGGUACCAAGGUCCAACAGCACAUUGUCUUGGUGGGCAGGUAGUAGGUGGGAAAUAAACUGGUCAAAAGGAUCUUUUCUCUUCUUGAUUUCAAAAUUCACACAAAUGAGCAGUGUAAAAUACAAACAUUUAGGAGGAGCAGGACUGAUUCUAGUGUUAAAAGUCAGGGAGCAGGACUGAUUCUAGUGUUAAAAGUCAGGGAGCAGGACUGAUUCUAGUGUUAAAAGUCAGGGAGCAGGACUGAUUCUAGUGUUAAAAGUCAGGGAGCAGGACUGAUUCUAGUGUUAAAAGUCAGGGAGCAGGACUGAUUCUAGUGUUAAAAGGCAAGUCCUGCACUUUUCAACCUCAUAUUCAUCCUCUCCAGCACCAAAACAGUAUCUAUAUUUCUGAAAACAGCACCUUUCACAUUUUUAUGAUCUGUAGUUAAAAAAAAAUGAGAAGAAAACUCUUUAAAAACGGUGAUUUUCAAAACCUGCAAUGAGUUUCUAGCCCAGUAGAGGACAUUUUAUUGCUCCCCACACCACUGACAAUCUAAUUGUGUUUGAAAAAUCACUGCUUUUAAAAUCAUUCAACUUUUGAUGAUGUCAUCAGGUAGAACUUUUUAACUUCAUAUUUUUUCUACAAAACUUAGAAAUGCACCAUUUUCACAUCUGAUUUUAUUUUAUUUUUACGGCUGCAUUUGUACCUUUUUUAAAAGUAUUUUGUUUAAAUAUAAUUUGCCUCCACAACAACAUGAAUACCUGCAUACUUUCACAUACAAACCAGAGGAGGCUGGUGGAGGAGCAAUAUGAGGACAGGCUCAGUGUAAAGACUGGAAUGGAAUACAUGGAAUUAAUUUAUUUAUUCCAUUUCAGCCAUAAAAAUGAACCCGUCCUCCUAUAACACAUCCCACCAGCCUCCUCUGAAUGUCUCUGUUCUGUUAAAAGAGAAGUGGAGAAUACCACAUAUUGUUUCUGUUGUAUCUAAAUGUAUCUACAUUAAACCACAUGUUUUGUUCUUAAGACUGAUGGGGAAGAGUGGAGUGUAAAGGAUUUUGCAACACUACUGUAGUUAGCGCAACCUUGUGACUCUGUUAUGGCUAGGGGGCAGUAUUUUCACGGCUGGAUAAAAAACGUACCCGAUUUAAUCUGGUUACUACUCCUGCCCAGUAACUAGAAUAUGCAUAUAAUUAUUGGCUUUGGAUAGAAAACACCCUAAAGUUUCUAAAACUGUUUGAAUGGUGUUUGUGAGUAUAACAGAACUCAUAUGGCAGGCAAAAACCUGAGAAGAUUUCAUGCAGGAAGUGGCCUGUCUGACAAGGUGUCGUUCUUCUUGUCUCUGUUUAUUGAAGAGUGAGGAUCUUAGUGUCCCGUGACACUUCCUACGGCUGCCAUAGGCUCUCAGAAGGCGGCAAAACGCUGAAUCGUGGCUUUGCAGGCUCUGGCUGAAACAAAGUAGCGCGUUUGGGUAGUGGCUGGUUACAGUACUGUGAGACUCAGGCUCGUGCCCGCGUCGACCGAAAGCUUUGUUUUCUUUCCUCUGUUUAGCUAAAUGGACAUUCCCGGUCUGAAUAUUAUCGCUUUUUUACGAGAAAAAAUGGCAUAAAAAUGGAUUUUAAACAGCGGUUGACAUGCUUCGAAAUACGGUAAUGGAAUAUUUAGAUUUUUUUUGUCACGAAUUGCGCCAUGCGCGCGACCCUGAUUUACCAUUUCAGAUAGUGUCUGGGACGCACGAACAAAACGCCGCUAUUCGGAUAUAACGAUGGAUUAUUUUGGACCAAACCAACAUUUGUUAUUGAAGUAGCAGUCCUGGGAGUGCAUUCUGACGAAGACAACAAAAGGUAAUCAAACUUUUAUAAUAGUAAAUCUGAUAUUGGUGAGUGCUAAACUUGCCGGGUGUCUAAAUAGCUAGCCCGUGAU